UUCACUACAAUAGUCAUGUAUGUUGGAAAUCGUCAGUCAGACCUUUCCUCCACAUCCACAAAAAUGAAAAUCACGUAUUUCUGAUUGGAGAGACAAAAGAUCCCAACUAAGGAUGCAAUUACUUCUCAGCUGAUACUACAACUCUCUGAAGAGAGCAAUCCUUCUUUCAACGUCCCUCAAAGUCGAAAACCAGGUCUGAAGAACAAGAUGACCAAAUGCAGAAAGCAAACAGAACUUCUUAAAAGAUCAGCUGUCUUUCCAUCAGGGUCAGAAAGUGUAUCCUCCUAUCGCAGCCUGGUUAAUUAUACAUCACCGUGGCAACUAAGUAGAGCCAAGAUUUGCUAUUUCAACUUCCUGAUGCUCUCCUCCUAAAG